AUCGCACCACUGUGCAUUGGUCUUGGCAACAGAGUGAGACAAUGUCCCUAAAAAAUAUAUAAAUAAAUGUGAUCAAGAACGGCCUCUCCAGGGAGGAGCCAUGUGAGCUGAGACUUAAAGAUGAGGAGGUCUUGGGUUUGUGUAGGAGGAGGUGGGGCUUGGGGGGAGGGGCUUUCAGAGACAGUCAGGACAGGUGCAAAGGCCCUGAGGCCGACAGACCAGCAAGGGGGCCCCUGUGGCUCCAGCAGAGUGAGUGAGGGGGGAGGGAAGGAGCACACCUGCCCACCCUUCCCUCCUCCGUCCCCUCCUCAACUGAUGUUUGGGUCCAUUGCAAAGCCGGCAGCAAGACAUGCCACCCCUGAACACUUCCGCAUGCAGAUCAUUAACUAGGGCUCGAUAUUUGCGUAUUUUUUUUCCUUUCAAGGGAAAGUUGAGCCAAGCGAAAUGCAUACAUCGUAAGCCCACAGCUGGUAAGUUUGGACACAUCCGCGUACCUCGCUAACCUAAUCUCCUACAACAAACGCUCCUUCCAGAAAGUUCCCUCCCAUCCCUGGCUGGUCCACCCCCAACUCAGUCAUCCGAAGCUUGGUUUUGCCACUUCUACAACUUCACAUAAAUGGAAUCGCACGCUGCGUCUUCCAGCCUGGCUUCUCUCCCUGCGGAAUGUUGUUUGGGAUUCGGCCACGUUAUUGCAUCUGUUAGUAGCCUGACAUUCUUUUUUUAUUGUCACAUUGUGUGUAGGGUGUGAACGCACCACAACUGGCUCGUCGCGGCUUGUUGAUGGGCAUCUGGGAUGCUUCUAAACGCUCUGAACGGUCA